rnacentral:snoRNA from 8 species
UUAUCUGUGCGUCUAUGAUGUUUCUGUUCACCCAAUUCAACCAUGAGGUCACCAAACAGUUAUUCGUCACUACCACUGAGACCACAAUUAU